AUUGAACGCUGCGGAAUGCUUUACACAUGCAAGUCGAACGGCAGCACGGGGCAACCUGGUGGCGAGUGGCGAACGGGUGAGUAAUAUAUCGGAACGUGCCCAAUCGUGGGGGAUAACGUAGCGAAAGUUACGCUAAUACCGCAUACGAUCUACGGAUGAAAGCGGGGGAUCGCAAGACCUCGCGCGAAUGGAGCGGCCGAUAUCAGAUUAGGUAGUUGGUGGGGUAAAGGCUCACCAAGCCAACGAUCUGUAGCUGGUCUGAGAGGACGACCAGCCACACUGGAACUGAGACACGGUCCAGACUCCUACGGGAGGCAGCAGUGGGGAAUUUUGGACAAUGGGCGCAAGCCUGAUCCAGCCAUUCCGCGUGCAGGAUGAAGGCCUUCGGGUUGUAAACUGCUUUUGUACGGAACGAAACGGUCUGCCCUAAUACGGCAGGCUAAUGACGGUACCGUAAGAAUAAGCACCGGCUAACUACGUG
rnacentral:rRNA from 1 species